GACGAACGCUGGCGGCGUGCUUAACACAUGCAAGUCGAACGGAAAGGCCCUGCUUUUGUGGGGUGCUCGAGUGGCGAACGGGUGAGUAACACGUGAGUAACCUGCCCUUGACUUUGGGAUAACUUCAGGAAACUGGGGCUAAUACCGGAUAGGAGCUCCUGCUGCAUGGUGGGGGUUGGAAAGUUUCGGCGGUUGGGGAUGGACUCGCGGCUUAUCAGCUUGUUGGUGGGGUAGUGGCUUACCAAGGCUUUGACGGGUAGCCGGCCUGAGAGGGUGACCGGCCACAAUGGGACUGAGAUACGGCCCAGACUCCUACGGGAGGCAGCAGUGGGAAAUAUUGCACAAUGGGCGGGAGCCUGAUGCAGCAACGCCGCGUGCGGGAUGACGGCCUUCGGGUUGUAAACCGCUUUCGCCUGUGACGAAGCGUGAGUGACGGUAAUGUGUAAAGAAGCACCGGCUAACUACGUG
rnacentral:rRNA from 1 species